rnacentral:rRNA from 1 species
CUCUGCAACGCUACAAGCUGACAAUGGAUGCCUUGGGCGCUCAUGCCGAGGAAGGACGUAUAUGGCCACGAUAGUCGCCGGGGAGGAGCCAUACUCUCGCGAUCCGGCGGUUUCCGAAUGGAGAAAUCCGGCCAACGUGAGUUGGUCAACCCAUCGUAAAGGCAGCCGUAAGGUUGUUAUAGCAAUGGGUGGGGCACCGCGUGAACUGAAACAUCUAAGUAACGCGAGGAAUAUAAAUCGUAAUGAGAUUCCGUUAGUAGCGGCGAGCGAACGCGGAACAGUCUAAACCAUACCGCAAGGUGUGGGGUUGUGGGGCGGGAGUCAUAGGAGUAUUGAAGGUAGGAGAACAUCUCGGAAUAGGUGGCCAGAGAGAGUGAAAGCCUCGUAUCCGAAACUUUCAAUACCUUUAUUCCGUUCCCAAGUACCGUGGGACACGAAGGUCCUGCGGGAAGCUGGGGGAACCAUCCUCCAAGACUAAAUACAUGAGUGCACCGAUAGUGAACGAGUACCGUGAGGGAAAGGUGAAAAGCACCCCGGAAGGGGAAUGAAAUAGUACCUGAAAUUGUCAGCUAACAAACAGUGAGAGCCCUGCAAGGGGUAAUCACGUGCCUAUUGAAGAAUGAACCGGUGAGUUCUUCUGUGCUGCGGUCUAAGUCGCUUCAAGCGACGGAGACAUAGUGAAAGCGAGGGUGAAUAGCCCGUUUGUAGCACGGAUGAGACCCGAAACCGGGUGAGCUAACCAUGGGCAGGGUGAAGUCCCGCGAAAGCGGGAUGGAGGCCCGAACCCGUCAGAGUUUCAAAUCUGUGGGACGACCUGUGGUUAGGGGUAAUAUGCCUAUCGAACCCGGAGAUAGCUGGUUCUCCCCGAAAUAUAUUUUGGUAUAGCGGCCGAUCAAGCGAUGGAGUGGUAGAGCACUGAAUGAUAACGGUUUCGCAAGGAACCGUCUUCAACCAAACUCCGAAUACUUACAUCGUUAUUCGGCCAGUCAGACGUGCGGGGCUAAGCUCGUGCGUCAAAAGGGAAACAGCCCUGACUCACAUCUAAGGCCUCUAACUCUUUGCUCAGUGGUUAAGGAAGUCAUGGUUUACAGACACCCAGGAGGUUGGCUUAGAAGCAGCCAUCCUUUAAAGAAAGCGUAACAGCUCACUGGAUGAAAGCCGUGGCGCCGAAAAUGAUCGAGGCUUAAGCAAAGGGCCGAAGAUUGAGAUAUUGUUGCCGCAAGGCAAUAGUGUGGUAGGGGAGCGUUCUGUUUGCAGUGAAGAUGCCGCUGUAAGGCGGGUUGGAGCGGACAGAAGUGAGAAUGCCGGUAUGAGUAGCGUUUGGAUGUGAGAAUCAUCCAUGCCGAAUGCGCAAGGUUUCCGAAGCAACGUUCGUCGACUUCGGGUAAGUCGGAUCUAAGGCGAGGCCACAAUGGCGUAGCUCGAUGUAGAAACGGUUGAUAUUCCGUUACAAGGGAGUGUCGAUGAAGACCCAAAGGAAUGACAAAAUGAAACGUGUCCGUGUCUCGAUUCGUCGGGAUUUAAGCUUUGAAAUAGUGAUAAUUGGUAAAUCCGUUAUUGCGAUUAAUUGAAAAGCGAAUAGGAGUCCGCGCCGCGAGGCAAAGGCAACACAGAUAGUUUCGUUUUCGAGAAAAGUUUCGUUGGGGAGCACUUCUUUUCCGUACCGCAAACCGACACAGGUGCGCUGGUGGCAGACCACCAAGGCAAGCGGGCGACAAUGGUUCAAGGAACUCGGCAACAAAAGCUGGGCGUAACCUAUGGGAGAUGCCCUUCCCCGAGCAAUCGGGGGCACAGUAAAUGACACUACGCGACUGUUUAACUAAAACACAGGUCUCUGCGAAGCCGAAAGGCAACGUAUAGGGGCUGACACCUGCCCAGUGCCGGUAAGUUAAGAGUGGUUGGUGACUUUGAGCAAUCAAAGAGGCCGAUUUCUCAAGCUCCGGUGAACGGCAGCAAUAACUAUAAUUGUUCUAUGGUAGCGAAUUUCCUUGUCGGGCAAGUUCCGACCCGCACGAAAGGUAGAACGACGUAGUGACUGUCUUGAACCAUUACCCGGCGAAAUUGAAAUGGCUGUGAAGAUGCGGCCUACUUGCACUUGGACAAAAAGACCCCGUGGAGCUUUACUGCAUCUAGACACUGAGGACUUUAUUUUGACUGUCGAGCAUAGGUGGGAGACUUCGGUCAUCACUGGAAUACCACUCUUCGAAAUGAGGAAAUCUGACUUACGCCUACAUAAAAAUCUAGGCGGAGGACACUGUCUGGUGGGCAGUUUAACUGGGGAGGUUGCCUCCAAAAGUGUAACGGAGGCGUACAAAGGUUGGCUAAUCCUGAAUGGAAACCAGGACGUGUCGUGCAAACGCCAAAAGCCAGCUUGACUGCGAGGCGUACAGGCCGAGCAGGGACGAAAGUCGGUGUUAGUGAUCCUCGGAUCCCUCGUGGGAGGGACCGGGCUUAACGGAUAAAAGCUACCCCGGGGAUAACAGGCUGAUCGCUUCCGAGAGUCCAUAUCGACGAGGCGGUUUGGCACCUCGAUAAUCCCGAUGAAGUCGGGAUCAUGUCGCCUAAAGGAGUAAUCCUUUUUGAAUAAUUCAGCUCAUAUCGGUGAAACUCUCUUUCUCUUUUGAACCGGAGUGAAGGGUAAUACCGAGGGAAGUUUGAUGUACCGUAGUGGCACAUCAUAACCCCGUAACGACUGAUCCACGUUCAUGAAAACUGAACGUGGUGAGAUAGAUUUAAUUUUUUUAUACAUCUAUCACACGCUGGACACCCUUAUGACACAAUGAAGGGUGGUGGUAUAGUCUAUGCCAUUGGAAACAAUGGACAAUCAUGGUCGGCUCAUCCUAUCCUGGGGCUGGAGAAGGUCCCAAGGGUCCGGCUGUUCGCCGGUUAAAAGGGUACGCGAGCUGGGUUCAGAACGUCGUGAGACAGUUCGGUCUCUAUCCAGUGCAAGCGAUCGAUUCUUGAGGGGAGUUCUCCCUAGUAGACGCGAUGAGCGUCAUGCUCUUCCGAUCUGUAAAGAUCGGAAUGUAAUUGGCUUAUAACGGUGAAGUCUUCUGAUAGUUGUGGUACGAUAGAUAGAUGCGAGAGGACCAUAACAUCAAAGAUAAUACCGUGGGAAGUCGACAAGAAUUAAAGAUACAAGACGUAGCGUAUAUAGCAGGUUUCUUAGAUGGUGACGGUAGCAUUAUGAUGCAGAUUAAGCGUCGAUCAGAUUCAAAAUUUGGUUGGCGAAUUAUGACCACAAUCUGUUUUUAUCAGGAUGCACGUCAUGUACAACCAUUGCGAUGGAUUCGCCGCAUGUUUCACAUUGGGUACAUUUCUGUACGUAAUGAUCAUAUGGCGGAAUAUCGUAUCAAUGGCUUUGAAGAAACCCAUCGUAUUUUGCAACUCGUUAAACCGUUUAUUCGGUUUAAGAAAAAACAAGUUGCAUUACUGCUAAAAAUUCUUCCGUUGCUUUGUCGAAAAAAAUUGACUGAUAUGAGUCACAAAGAACGGAUGAGAGUAGCAGAGGUAAUUAUUUCUCUUCGAGAAUAUAAUUAUCAAUCGCACCAGCGGAGAUACACAGAUGAAUCUAUAAAAGCUAUACUUGAUUUUUAAUACUUUGUUUGACCCCGUAACGACUGAUCUCCAUCAUUAUGUCGCUAAGCGACAACGAUGGAGUGAGAUAGAUUGAGUAACAAUCCAUCAAACGCCGACCCCCGCACCAAAUGGAGCAGGGUGAAGAUAUAGUCUAAGCUCUUAGAAAUAAGAGAAUAACUUGACGAGAGGACCGGGAGGAACGGAUCCCUGGUGUGCCUAUUGUCGGACAACCGGCAUCGUAGGGUAGCUAGAUCCGGAAGGGAUAAGUGCUGAAAGCAUCUCAAGCGCCAAGCCCACCCCAAGAUGAAGAAUCGUUAUUCAGAUCCGUUGUAGAUGACAACGUUGAUAGGCGAGAAAUGUACGCACGGCAACGUGUUCUAGUUUACUCGUACUAAUCGAUCGAAGUUGUGGAGAA